rnacentral:rRNA from 1 species
UACAUGGGGUGCAAACGUUGCUCGGAAUUAUUGGGCGUAAAGCGCACGUAGGCGGUUUGUUAAGUCGGAUGUGAAAUCCCUCGGCUCAACUGAGGAAGUGCAUCCGAAACUGGCAAGCUUGAGUACGAAAGAGGGUCGCGGAAUUCCCGGUGUAGAGGUGAAAUUCGUAGAUAUCGGGAGGAACACCGGUGGCGAAGGCGGCGACCUGGGUCGAUACUGACGCUGAGGCGCGAAAGCUAGGGUAGCAAACGGG